rnacentral:hammerhead_ribozyme from 1 species
ACCCAGCUGAUGAGUCCCAAAUAGGAUGAAACGCGUGUGCUAAAU